UACGUAGGGUCCGAGCGUUUGUCCGGAAUUAUUGGGCGUAAAGGGCUCGUAGGCGGUUAGUCACGUCGGGAGUGAAAACUCAGGGCUCAACCCUGAGCGUGCUUCCGAUACGGGCUGACUAGAGGUAUGCAGGGGAGAACGGAAUUCCUGGUGUAGCGGUGGAAUGCGCAGAUAUCAGGAGGAACACCGGUGGCGAAGGCGGCAUCCUGGGUCGGUAUUGACGCUGAGGAGCGAAAGCCAGGGGAGCAAACGGG
rnacentral:rRNA from 1 species